UUUUUUCUAUGAGCCUAUGAGCGCUAAAACUAAAAACUGUUCACGACUUCACGUACUCUAUCUCUCGCUAACCCUAAUUAGCUGAAACACCAAAAGAACCGCAUCGUACCUCUCCUCUCUACAAAUUCGAAACCGUUCUGCUCUCUGCCAAUCUGCCAUUGAUAUUCAUCAAGGUUUGUCUUUAAUUUUAAACUUGAGCCUUUUUCAUCUUCAACCUUCUCAAUUUAAACUUCUUUUUCCCCCGAAAAUCUCUCAAAUAUGGUGGUAAUCGAACAAUGAAACGACGAACCUGCUGCAGCACCAGAGAUCAACCACAAGAAACUCAAUUUAGAACCUGAAACGAGUUCCGUCAACAACAAAGAAGAAACGGAUGGUUUCGAAACGGCUAGCGAAGGCGAUCAUUCUGAUAGAGGUACCGACUUUGGCGACGACGAACAACAACAACAAGAAAAAUUUGCGCCAUUGACGGCUGUUAAGGAUGAUUCUUAUGAAGAUGCUCUUGAUGAUGAUCAAUUGAAACAGGGAAAGUAUGAUGAGACAGUCAAGGAAUGUUCAAAAGCUAUAGAACUAAAUCCAGCAUAUGUCAAAGCUCUUCUCAGGAGAGGAGAGGCUUAUGAAAAGCUUGAACGAUAUGAAGAGGCCAUCUCUGAUAUGAAAAAAUAUUGGAAGUGGAAGCUUCAAAUGAGCAGGCUAGGAGGAACAUUGUUCGAAUGGAGCCAUUAGCCCGAGAAAAGGCGGAAAAGAUGAAGGAAGAAAUGAUUGGUAACCUUUUUCUUCUUCACACUUCCGCUGAUCCUCUCCUGUAUCUUCACUCUCCUUUGUGAUUAGUUUCUCACUGUGUAGUCUUGCGCGUUGGUAUUAUGCUUCUUCCCUUUUUAAAUGGCUUGCUUUAUGGAUGUUGAUUUAUACUGUACAUGAUUUUGUCUAUACUGAGGUUUGUGUGCAAAACAAGUCAGAUGCUAAAUUUGUUCUGAAAUUUCCCCCUUAUUUAAAGUUAAAGCCAAAUUUUGACUUUCAUUAUGGCCAGCAGCUGAAUGUGAAGUUUGGAAUGCUGUAGGAAAUUAAAUUGAUAAUAAUGUUCAUGGAAAAUAAACAUGUGUUGGUCAACCAAGACUAAGCUUGGCAUGACAGUUGUAGUUGUGAGUUAAGGAAUAAGGAUGCUUAUCAUGAAAAGCUUCAAAUUUGAUGAUGAUGAAGCACUACUACAAAAUACACCAUUUGUCGACACCAAGUCCUCGACGCUGAGGGAGAACCGUUAGCAUUAAAUUGUUGUUUGCAUGUUUUCUCGACGCCUUCCUGCGUCUUCCUAUUUUCCCGUCUACUAUAGGUGUCGAGAUACUACUAGGAAAGCACAUGCCCCGCACGUGGUCAUAUUUAGGUGCCCGUUUUCUUUUUCUGUGAGAGCAGUCCCAUUCCCCGUCCCCGUUCUCCUCAACCCUAACCUCAUAACCUUCUCUUUCUCUAUCACUUUGAAAAUUCCAGAUCUACAUUUCUAAGCCCCUUACAAUCAAUUUCCUUCUUUCUUUUGAUUUAGUUGACGGAUCUCAUAGUUGAACAAGCUUUCAGAGAUUGAUUCUCCCAUGGCGGAGCUUUCCAUUUCCGUCUUUCAUCAUGGUCUCAUGGUGGUCAGGUUUAUCCAUUUCCAGCAUGUUCUUUUAGUGCUAAAAUUUUGCCUGGAGCAUGUUUUUAUAGACAGAUUUCUCUAAACCAAAUAGAUUUAGGAUCUGAUAUAUGUUGCGAUAAGAAACUAAAUCCAAGCUAAUUGUUGAAUAAUGGCUUAGCAACUUGAAAAAGGAAGAGCAUGCAACUCCUUUAGCCUAUGAAUUUCCUGUUUUUGAAGCGAAUACUUCUGUCUGGCAUAUUUUCUGUUCAUUGGUGUGGCAGUAAUCUUUUUGUUCAUGUGAUUCAUUGGUGAUGUGACGUUUUCUGUAUUUUUCUGUUGUUACUCUUGAAAUUCGGAGGUGGUUUCUUUUUUGAAUUGGAAUAACUUGUAGUUCGUGGUGUGGUGAUGUGAUAUACUUCGUAAUAAUCUAGCUGGAUUUGGUACUUUUGCUGAUAUUCAAAGUUUAAGUGAGUUAGACAUGACACUCUUUUAUCACCGUCAACAUUUUCUAAAUUAAACCAACUUGAUUUGGUAUUGUUUUGUCUGAGUUUAAUAUCAACUCGUGUUCAUUUUUUACUAAAUGUUAAUGUUGAAUUUUAGUAAUAUGGAAGCUUUGUUUUGUAUUUGUUGUUGCUAAGUGCUAACUAAACUGUUAAUUGCAGGACAUUGGUGAUGGAGUUUAUAUUCUAAUAGAAAAAGUCGCUAGAAAGAGUACUGGACUGGCCCUUCCCUGACCCUAUCCUUUCUGUUUACCGAUAUUUUUCUCAAUUUGAAAGUGAAAGGAGUAUUUCUCGUUGCUGAUACUGAAAGUAGAUAAAAUACUAUGAGUUAUUUCUUUUGUGGUGCAGUGUGAUAAUAAUUCUUACUUAUCUGAUCAAGAAGCGCUGCAUGACUAUAUCUCAAGCUCUUGAAUACGUGAGAAGCAAAAGAUCGCAGGCAUCCCCUGAUUCUGGCUUAAUAAAGCAGCUCCGACAGUAUGAACAAUCACUAGGAGAUCAUCUCUUUUGCUUCGCUUAUCAGAUACAAAGACACAAGGAUCAACCAGUCAGGUUGGUUAUCUGACUAUACAGUAACAAAACUAAGUGCAAUUUUGAGACAAUAGCAUAACAUUCCUGCUCAUGGCAUCGUUGCCACCAAAUACAGGGUAUGUAUUUCAGGCUGUGAGAAAUGUAGGUGUAAAAGUCGUUGUCUCAAACUUCGAUACUCGAUUAAGACCUCUGUUGAGGGUUCUGAAUUGUGAACAUUGGUUUGAUGUUAUGAUCGUUUCAGCAAAACUAACUGGCUAUCAGUCGGAUUUUACUUGGAAAUGUCUGUACAUUAUUGAGUUUGAACUGGAUUUCUCUAACGGGUUGCUGCUGAGAAGCCAAAUCCAACAAUAUUUCUGAAGGCGUGUGAUCUUCUGGGUGUAAAGCCAGUGGAUGAUGUUCAUGUUGGUGAGAUCGUAGAAACGAUGUAUGGGGCGCAAGGGUUACAGGCUUCAUGUUAUUUAGCGUGUGACAAGGAUGAUAUGCGGCAACUCCAGAUUUGCAAAUAGAGAGAGUGCUAGAAUCUGCAAAUUUAGAUGUUUUAAUGCAAUAUGUGGCUUAUUUGCCUUUCUAUUUAAUUUAUUAUUUAUUUUAGCAGCCAAUAAUGGUCAAUAUGUCAAUAUUGAAACAAACGUUGUAAGUUAUGUAGCACGUUCUCAUACAUUGUAACAUACACCAUAUAUAAAUAUAUGAUUUCACUUUUUAAAA